AGUGAACGCUGGCGGUAGGCCUAACACAUGCAAGUCGAACGGCAGCACAGUAAGAGCGUGCGCUUACGGGUGGCGGGUGGCGGACGGGUGAGGAAUGCAUCGGAAUCUACUUUUUCGGGGGGGAUAACGUAGGGAAACUUACGCUAAUACCGCAUACGACCUACGGGUGAAAGCAGGGGAUCUUCGGACCUUGCGCGGAUGAAUGAGCCGAUGUCGGUUUGGCUGGUUGGCGGGGUAAAGGCCCACCAAGUGGACGAUCCGUGGCUGGUCGGAGAGGAUGAUCACCCACCCUGGAACUGAGCCACCGUCCAGACUCCUACGGGAGGCAGCAGUGGGGAAUAUUGGGCAAUGGGCGCAAGCCUGGUCCAGCCAUACCGCGUGGGUUACGAAGGCCUUCGGGUUGUAAAGCCCUUUUGUUGGGAAAGAAAAGCAGCCGGUUAAUACCCCGCUGUUCUGACGGUACCCAAAGAAUAAGCACCGGCUAACUUCGUG
rnacentral:rRNA from 1 species